rnacentral:rRNA from 1 species
UGGGGAAUAUUGGACAAUGGGGGCAACCCUGAUCCAGCCAUGCCGCGUGAAGGAUGAAGGUGCUAUGCAUUGUAAACUUCUUUUGAACGGGAGAAAACCUUUGGUCGUGUACCGAAGCUGAUAGUACCGUUAGAAUAAGGGUCGGCUAACUUCGUGCCAGCAGCCGCGGUAAUACGAAGGACCCGAGCGUUAUCCGGAUUUAUUGGGUUUAAAGGGUGCGUAGGCGGAACAGUAAGUCAGUGGUGAAAUCCUGUUGCUUAACAACAGAACUGCCAUCGAUACUGCUGAUCUUGAGUACAUAUGAUGUGGGCGGAAUGUGCCAUGUAGCGGUGAAAUGCUUAGAUAUGGCACAGAACACCGAUUGCGAAGGCAGCUCACAAAACUGUUACUGACGCUGAGGCACGAAAGCGUGGGGAUCAAAAAGGAUUAGAUACCCACGUAGUCCCUGAGCGGGCUGGCAAGGCGCAU